UACGGGGGGGGGCAAGCGUUGUUCGGAAUUACUGGGCGUAAAGGGCUCGUAGGCGGCCAACUAAGUCAGACGUGAAAUCCCCAGGCUCAACCUGGGAACUGCGUCUGAUACUGGAUGGCUUGAGUUCGGGAGAGGGAUGCGGAAUUCCAGGUGUAGCGGUGAAAUGCGUAGAUAUCUGGAGGAACACCGGUGGCGAAGGCGGCAUCCUGGACCGGCAUUGACGCUGAGGCGCGAAAGCUAGGGGAGCAAACAGG
rnacentral:rRNA from 1 species